rnacentral:lncRNA from 1 species
GAGAGAGAGAGAGAGAGAGAGAGAGGAGGAGGAGGAGGAGGGAGGAGGAGGAGGUGAGAGAGAGAGAGAGAGAGGAAAGGGAACGACGCUUUUCGAGCAGAGCGAGCGUUUCUCGAAAUUUCUCGAGGAAAAUUUCCUUCCCCUCCCCCCCGAGUACUACAGCUGGCGUUCUGUGGGGUCGAAAGGAA